ensembl:lncRNA
CCGGGCCUGCACUCUUGAUAUAAAUACCCGGUGAUGACCGACUUAUUGCGGGCGACCGGGCGACGAAUCCACCGUUGGGACAGCACUGCCGGUGUCAGGCCGUAUCCCAGUCACCAACUGAGAGGACAGAGGAAACGCUGCUUGCACGCCAGAUCCCUUCAGAAGUCUUCACAGACCCCUGAAGUCCCUUCUGAUCACCCGAGGACUUCUUUUGCCUAUCUCUUCAUUUCCAAUGUGGAAAGACAGUAGUGGAUAAUAAUCGGAGGGCUUAACCAGGCGAGUGAUGUUCCUAGCAAUGCCCCUCACCCGGGCACCAGGCAGGCAGCACACCUCCCUGCGGGACGGAUCCAAGCAGCAUAUCGGGUCCUCGGUUACCCUCAGAAGGGAGUCCCCUAUGACAACAGCCCUUCUUUUUUUCCUGACUGACACUGUAGCAGAACGGGGAGCAGACUGACCAGCCUUGGGCAACCUCUCCUGCACAGAUGGACUUUCACCAACAUCCACAUCCCCCAGUCCCUCUAGCUCCAGAGCCUCAUACCUGGUAUUGUAAGGGCACCUGGGAAGGUGGGACAGGCUGAGGGGCAGUCCGCUUGUUGCCCCGAGCAGGGACUUGUUUCCAUCCCUCGCUGUCUUUGAGGUCACCCGUUCCCACCUGACUGCGAGACAGCAGAUGAUCCCCCACUGCCUGAAAAGCAUCUCCCCCACACCCUUCCUGUAGGGACGGCCGAGCGCAGCUCCACCGACCAAUCCCCUUCCCACAGUCCCGGAUGCUCCUCAGCCCUUCCACUUCCUCCUUCAGCUCUACCACCAGGCUGGGCAGAUCCUCCACCCGCUCACAGGCGGUAUCCCAGCUGCCCUCCCGUAGCAGCAACAGGGCCGAGCAUUCUGCGCAGCCUGAGACCU